rnacentral:lncRNA from 1 species
CAAGAACUCUAAAAUUGUUACUUAAAUGAUGCUGAAGAAAGUUAUUUCAAGAGCAUUUGGGGUUAAUUACACUUUUAACAAAGUUAAGCAUGAUAGCCUGACUGAAACAAUGGGUCAUUUACU